UUUUUUUUUUUUUGCUUUUUAUGGCUGCACCUGCGGCAUAUGGAGGUUCCCAGGCUAGGGGUUGAAUGGGAGCUACAGCUGCUGGCCUCCACCACAGCCACGGCAACGCCAGAUCCGAGCUGCAUCUUUGACCUGCACCACAGCUCAUGGCAACGCCAGAUCCUUAACCCACUGAGUGAGGCCAGGGAUCGAACCCGCAACCUCAUGGUUCCUAGUCGGGUUCGUUUCCACUGCACCAUGACGGGAACGCCUACCUUUGCUUUUUAAUUGCAGAAACCAUCUGGUUCCAAAGUCUAAAGCACAGAAUCAGGUGCGUUCAGAGAGGUUUUGCUCCCACUCCCGUCUGUGCCCUGCUCUGCCCAGAAGGGCAAUUUCACUUAGUUCUGGGUUUAUUCUUCCACAGCUUCUUUCUAAACGUCUAAGCCAAGCGGUGAGCCGCGUUUACCCUCUGCAACUUCCCUUUUCACUGAGUAUCCCCAGAAAUCCCACGUUUCCCUGGAUGCCUGAUUCUCCCAGGGAACCCCAGAGCUCGCGGCUCCUUUUCACAGCUGCACCACACCCCACUGCACCGAGGGGCUUGCAUCAGUUCCCACGUUCUGCAAUUAUGGGACUGCGCAGUGAGGAGAUUUGCGGCGUGCACGUUUCUAAAGUUUUUGAUAAGCCUCUUGCCAAAGACUUUGCUGGAACUGGGCCCGAUGUUUCCUCUUCCAGGAAUGGGUGAGAAUAAGUGAUAGACAGGCUUUUCACGUGGAGACGCGGGGUCUGGGAGGUUGCUGAGGCAGAAGCGAGGGAGCUGAGCCCUGCGUGGCGAGGUUGGAGGCUCAGUGGUUCCCCGGAGGCUUGUCUGCAGGGUCAUGUGGCCUGGGAGGGAGCGGCUGGGUAGGGACGCUGGGGACGCCAGUCCACAGAUGGAGGAGGACAUGGAUGUGACCAGGAGGGGCUCACCCAGGCAGCGUGUGCAUCAGAGGCAAACUGUGAAGGGAGCUCAGGCCCCGAGCAGAGAGCUAGAUGGACAGAAAGUUACCUCCAGACAGGCCCAAAGCAACGAGACAGCCAGACACAGACUCACAGACGGCUCCAAAUUCAGACAGAGGUGCAGACAAGCAGAUCCAGACAGCUGGACCAACAGGGCCCGGUCAGGAAGACGCAGCCCAGGCCACACAGACAGAGCCAGAGCUCCCAGGGACCCCAGGAUUUCUGGGCACCCUGCCGGGCAGCCCCGGCCUUCCUCAGCCCCCGGGGUGGCUGAGGCCAGCUGGCCCGCCAGCCCUGCCGAGGGUGCAGGCCGACCGGGGCCGGAUCCAGGGAGCUGGCUGUGCAGAGGAGGCGGCCAGCAGGGGAUGCUGGGCAGGGGCCAGGCCUGCUGUCCAGAUGCAUUUCACGCUCUUCGCGGAGGUGAGGCAAAGCAGAGCAGGCAGCUGCUGACGGAGUGCCGGGCCCGACGCCCCACACCCUUCCCUCCUGGGGCCUCACGGGGACACCCCGGCUUGUCUCAGCCUGGCCCUGGAGUGGCCAGAAAGCAGGCAGUGGGAUGGACCUCUGGCAGCGCCCCUGGUCUUCACAGCGUCCGUGGGAGGGCAGAGCAGGCACGGGGACCCCAAAUUUGCAGAUGAUGAGACCAAGGUUCAGAGAAGGCCAGGUCACUCUGGUGAUCCAGCUACAGCGUCAGGGCCACUGGUCCACGUGUAUCAUUCCUGCUAAUGGGCCUGUCGCAGUCAAAAGCCGUGUGUGGGCCACUGCCUGUCCCGGGGAGUCCUGGGCCUCCUGGGCAGCCCCUCCCAUCCUGUCCUGGCCCCCCCGACCCCCUCUCUGAGACCCCACGCUAACCACAGAGUGUCUCCCCCACUUCGGGAGACGAGCCACCUGAGGCCAGGAGAGGCCACGUGCACCAGUGGUUUUGGGGUCCGUACCAGGCCAGAUCUGCUGUGACCAUCCUGUUCCAGGGCGAGAUGUGCCCCCACGUCCCCCGCCCCCGGCGGAGCCCCAGGUCUCAUUGUGUGAAGCCGCACAGCCUGCGGCAUCUUUCUGAGGACACGGCAACAGGAUGACAGGUUUUGGGGGGUUGCCGCCCUGGCCCCAAGCUACUGGUCUGGAGUAGCUGGUUUGCACUGGUUUGUGCCCCCUGCUGCUGCCCCUCUGGCCACAGCUUACUGAGGUCGGGAGGGAGGGCCCCCCAGCUGGGCCAGCGCUCUUCUCUUCUCCCAGGAAGUGCAGGUGGGACGUGGACACUGGCCGGUCCCUGCUCUCCCUUGACCUUGGGUGGAGCCGUGGGAGCACAGGCUGCAGCCAGGGUGGCACGUGUGUGGCGCCAGACGGGCCGGUCCAGGGGGACGAGAGGAAGGACACAGGGGCCCAGGGAAAGCCAGGCCGCGGUCCAAGUUUACAGCAUCGCAACUCCCUCCCUGAGAUCCACAGAGUGACUCCUGUGAGCAUGUCACCUGCAGUGUGUGUCUGCCGUUUGCACCCCAAAACAUCAUCGCCGUCUUACUCAUCAGUGAAAGAAAUCACGAAGCCUGGGCAAGGCCAAGGAAGACAUGCAGAAAUUAAACUCGAUGCCCCCCCGCCCCGACACAUCCCAUUAGACCCCUGAGAGCCAGCCAGGCUCUGUCUCCCGUUAGCUGUGAAAAUGGGCCUUCAAACGCCUCUGUUUCUCUCUGCCUCCGUUUCCUCCUCUGGAAAAUGGGAGGAGGCGGAGUUCCCCACCAGACAGCAGGUGUGCUGUGCUUCCAUGGCUGUUGUUAAUAUUUGUUUCCCUCUCUGGGUCUAGAUCCUUCGCAGAGUCCCAGAGCCCCCUCCCCGCUCUGAGAUGCAGAUGGCCCCUGGCUCUGCCUGGCUCGGGGUGGCGGGGGGGACCCCAGCGGCAGGCAGCCUGGCGGCGUGAUGGGAAGGGUGCAGGCACAGGCCAGGCGCCCAGGGCUGUCAGCAGCCCUCUGCUUGCGCCCCAGCCUGACACCAGUCCACGGUUAAUUCCGAACUGCCCCUGAGAGUGCCAUGUAUCUGUCGCUCACCACCGCCCUCCAGCCACCCCUCUGCUCUCACUGUGCCCUUCCCUCUGCCUCUCCAGAGGUUACCCGGCCAUCAGUGCCCAGAACAGAGCUUCCCCUCCAAGAAGCCCUCCUGGACGUAGUGAAGCACCCCGCAGAACCCUGAAGUGCCAGCGCUGGGGGUGCGGUGCGUGGGAGAGGCUGAAGCAGUCAGAGGCGGGGGGCGGGGGGGAUUCAAGACCUCAGGAACAGCAAGGACAGCAGCCAGAGGCCCCUUGCAAGUCCCAUCCCUUGCUGCCCUCGCCAACCUGUCACUCUUCAGACCCUUCCGUGCCUGGGGACCCUGCCCAGCUGGACACCACGGUGACAAACUCAAGGGGCCCUUGUCCUGCCUGUGAGGACGGGCAGGUGCGUGGGGGGGGUCCUGCCAUACACUUGCUGGUAACCCUGGGUCAUGGCCGCUUUCUGGGCCUCAGUUUCCCUCUCUGUGACAUGGGUAUGCUAGGAUUUAGAAAACCAAUUCCUGCCAGCUCUGGGCUUGAAGGGUCUAAAUUUGUUUCUUUCACCAGCCUUGCCUGUGACGGGUCCAGACAACUGAGAUGCAUGACAAAGCUUCAGAAUCACGAAUGUCAAAAAGUGCCGGCUACUGGUCCGAGCAACACAUCAGAUGGCGUCCCCACGGGGACAGAGCGGGGAAGGGCUGCGAACACGCUGAUGCCCGCUCUCCUGGGAGUUUGGAGGGAGAUCGGGCUGACCCACGUCCCCUGGAGAACAAUGUCAGGCAGUGGGGCUCAGGGGGCGGCACUGCAUGGGAGGAACCACAGGGGGCUUCCUGGAGGAGAGGGCUCUGAGCCGUCCUGGAAGGAGGGCCAACUGACAGGCUGGGCUGGGAGCGGACAGGGAGGGCUGUGGGGAGAAGAGGCGGGAGGCAGAGAGGUGCCGGCAGGCACAGGGACAGCCUGGGGGAAGCUCCCUUCUCCAGCUCCCCGAAGCCUCCGCUGCCCCAUUGCCAGCCAAGACAAUCUGGCCAUGGAAGACUGCGCUGAAUUGUUAAUCUGCCCCCUGGGACCAUAAAAGGGUUUAAAGCUUUAUAAACAGCUUUGCUUCCCUGUCCCCACCCCUGACUCUUCCAGAGACAGGCUGUGGGAUGGGGCCCCUCUGGGCGCCCCGCCCAGGGUCUGUGGGGGAUGGGCUGGGCAGGCAUCAGCCCCUUCUGAUAGCCCCACGUCUGCGGGGCAGCUACUGCUUUACUAGUUGCAGUUGUCUCCUGCGGCGUGAGGACCAAGCGUGUGUGUCGGGGGGGGGGGGCAGGAAGCACCUGGCAGCAGAGCCAGGCGCCGGCCCACCUGCCUCCCCCCACCAGCCCCUCCCCUGGCAGAAGACCCCCACGUGGCUGCCAUCUGGACCACGUGUCAGGCUCUUCGUUUCAGUCUCUCCCAUUUUUCUCUUUCCUCUUGCUCCAUCUCCCCUGCUCCGGCCUUGAAGACCCAGGACUGAGCCUCUGUGGUCUCCUGGGUUCAUCUUGUCCCCCCCCACCGCCCCGUCCAGUCCGCGCGGGGUGCAGGGCGCACAGCGGUGCUGAAUGAAGGCUUCUGUCCGCUGCCUUCACCUGAGAUGCCCAGUGCUCCGCUCAGGAGCCAAGGAGAAGCCCAGCCCUGCACCCUCCACACUGGCUGGGCCUCCGGCUCAACCAGUCCAGCCAUUUCUAAACCCACCGGGCAUUGGAAAACGUGCAGAGGCCCAGGCCUCAGUGGGUCUGAGCGGGGCCCCUGGAAUCGGCUUGCUUCACACGCAGCCCUUCCAACCGAGUGGCGAUGGGGAAUCGGAGGCUGGGUGCAGCAGGCAGGGCUGGGCCUGCCCUCCCGCCAGGCCGUUCCCCACCCUGGUGUCGGGCGCGGAUGGAGCGCCAGUGCACUCUGCUUCCACAAACAUCUGUCUGGUUACCCGAGCACGGCUGCUACCUGAGAGCCCCAGGGCCCCCGCAGCUUCGAGCGGGAGCGGCGGAGGCCCCGUCUGGGCCUCCUUCACAUUUGGUCCUAAUUUCACGCUCCGCGGGCUCCCAGAUUCCUGCGUUUGGUAAUAUAACUAGAUAAAUUCCAGUGUGGCGGCUGGUCUUAUCCAGAGCCUGGUCUGAUACUAUCCAGAGCCCGGCUGGGGUGGGGGCAGGGGCGGUGGUGGUGCCGGUGUGGGGGCCUGGGGCCCGGAGAGGCAGCCCCCAAUAGCACCUGGAGGGACCCCCGCACCCCCACCCUGUUCUAAGCUCCACCCUCGGUCCAGGUCAGCCCGGUCCUGGGAGCGCCCAGGCCGACCAGGUGUCAGGGACUGAGUGGGUGGGGCCCAUGCCCACUUUGGGCUCCAAGGCCGGCGGCUGCCUGCAGCAGGGGGUUGGUGCUGCCAGGUGGGCUGGGGCUGGGCUGCUGGUGCUCGGGAAACGCUGGCCGGUUUUGCGACCCGGAUCCCCUGAGGGACCCCUAGAAAGAGCACAGCGGCUGUGUCUCUGGGGUUCUCAGACUUCCAGAAGCUCUCCCCAGAGCUCUGCUGAGGAGCCCUUUGGGGUCAGCCAGGUGACAGCAGGUCCUGCCCGGGGCCCACUGCUUGGCACCCGCUGUCCAGCCCAGAGCAGGGUGCACAGCAGGGACUCGGCGCCAGCUGUGAAGGAGUGACCUGAGGGGGUCCUUGAGCUCCUGAAGAAUGUACUGGAAUUUCUUCUGUGGAGCCCAGCAGAUCUGGGGGUGCCACGGGGAGUGGCGGGUCCCUCCUUUCUCUGGGCCUCUCUUCAGCAGCGUCAGGGUUGAUGACACCAAGAGGACGACAGCGCCCGACGCCUCGAUCUCAAUUCCCCCCUCCGGGUCCCCCUGGCGUGGACACACCACGCUCCCAGGCCGUGUGGGAAGCAGCGCCCAGAAGCAUUGCAAGGUCACCCACUCAUGGUUCCCAGGGGUGAAUGGGCUGGAGGAGUGAGUCAACCCACCGAACGUGCGGAAAACCCGGUAGGACGGACGUCAGGUCUUGGUGGCCCGGCUCAGCCUGCUCUGGGUGCAGCCGGAGCUGAGAAAGGGAGAGGACCCGGGACCUGGACUGCGGCCAGGAGGCUGGAGGGAGUGGGGCUUUGCCCCACUGGGCUGGUUGGGCACUCAGCUUCCCUGCUCCCUGGGGAAAGAGGGAGGGUGGCCUUUCUGUCCCCUCCUGUCCCCAGCCUGGCCUCCAUCGGGGAGCUGUGCUGUGGCUGCCUGGGAUCUCCCUGGUCCUUGGGGAAGCAGGCAGCGCCCGGGAGGCCCCGGGUCAUCCCAGGGGAGGCCUGGCCCGGGGAGCCCCUUCUGAGGUGGGCCCUUGGAACCCGCUCCAAAGUGUGUCCCCCCCUGGAGCCCCCGCCUCUGCUUACUGCCCAUUUGCCCAGAGGAGUGAAACUCGGCUGCUCUGGGGUGUGUGGUCACACAAGGCUGUGUCCCUGGCUCCACGGGGCCGGGUGGGUGGUACGGGAGGCUGUGGCCCCAGAGAUGGAGUCUUGCUCAGGGUCACCCCAAUAUCUGCCUCAGAGUGAGGGCUGGGCACAGGCCAGAGACCCUGAACCGCCUCCCUGGGCCCCAUGGUGGUGGUGGGAGGAGGGCGA
rnacentral:lncRNA from 1 species